rnacentral:rRNA from 1 species
GAUGAACGCUAGCGGCAGGCUUAAUACAUGCAAGUCGUGGGGCAGCAUGACUGUAGCAAUACAGUUGAUGGCGACCGGCAAACGGGUGCGGAACACGUACACAACCUUCCUUUAAGUGGGGAAUAGCCCAGAGAAAUUUGGAUUAAUACCCCGUAACAUAGUGAAAAGGCAUCUUUUUAUUAUUAUAGCAGCAAUGCGCUUAAUGAUGGGUGUGCGGCUGAUUAGAUAGUUGGCGGGGUAACGGCCCACCAAGUCUGCGAUCAGUAACUGGUGUGAGAGCACGACCAGUCACACGGGCACUGAGACACGGGCCCGACUCCUACGGGAGGCAGCAGUAAGGAAUAUUGGUCAAUGGACGCAAGUCUGAACCAGCCAUGCCGCGUGGAGGAUGAAGGUCCUCGGGUCGUAAACUCCUGUCGAGCGGGACGAACACUUAUCUGGUCAAUACCCGGGUAGGCUGACGGUACCGCUAAAGGAAGCCCCGGCUAACUCCGUGCCAGCAGCCGCGGUAACAC